CAGUCGAGCGACGAGGAAGAACUUGUUUCUUCCUUUGUUAGCGGCGGAUGGGUGAGUAACACGUGGGCAACCUGCCCUGCAGUUGGGGAUAACUCCGGGAAACCGGGGCUAAUACCGAAUAAUCAGUUCCUUCGCAUGAAGGAACUCUGAAAGACGGCUAUGCUGUCACUGCAGGAUGGGCCCGCGGCGCAUUAGCUAGUUGGUGAGGUAACGGCUUACCAAGGCGACGAUGCGUAGCCGACCUGAGAGGGUGAUCGGCCACACUGGGACUGAGACACGGCCCAGACUCCUACGGGAGGCAGCAGUAGGGAAUCUUCCACAAUGGACGAAAGUCUGAUGGAGCAACGCCGCGUGAGCGAAGAAGGUUUUCGGAUCGUAAAGCUCUGUUGUGAGGGAAGAACAAGUACAGGAGUAACUGCCUGUACCUUGACGGUACCUCAUUAGAAAGCCACGGCUAACUACGUGCCAGCAGCCGCGGUAAUACGUAGGUGGCAAGCGUUGUCCGGAAUUAUUGGGCGUAAAGCGCGCGCAGGCGGCCUUUUAAGUCUGAUGUGAAAGCCCACGGCUUAACCGUGGAAGGUCAUUGGAAACUGGAAGGCUUGAGUACAGAAGAGGAAAGCGGAAUUCCACGUGUAGCGGUGAAAUGCGUAGAGAUGUGGAGGAACACCAGUGGCGAAGGCGGCUUUCUGGUCUGUAACUGACGCUGAGGCGCGAAAGCAUGGGGAGCAAACAGGAUUAGAUACCCUGGUAGUCCAUGCCGUAAACGAUGAGUGCUAAGUGUUAGGGGGUUUCCGCCCCUUAGUGCUGGAGCAAACGCAUUAAGCACUCCGCCUGGGGAGUACGGCCGCAAGGCUGAAACUCAAAGGAAUUGACGGGGACCCGCACAAGCGGUGGAGCAUGUGGUUUAAUUCGAAGCUACGCGAAGAACCUUACCAGGUCUUGACAUCCCGCUGACCGGUAUAGAGAUAUACCUUUCCCUUCGGGGACAGCGGUGACAGGUGGUGCAUGGUUGUCGUCAGCUCGUGUCUGGAGAUGUUGGGUUAAGUCCCGUAACGAGCGCAACCCUUGACCUUAGUUGCCAGCAUUCAGUUGGGCACUCUAAGGUGACUGCCGGUGACAAACCGGAAGAAGGUGGGGGAUGACGUCAAAUCAUCAGGCCCCUUAUAACCUGGGGCUACCACCUUGCUUCAAUGGAACGGU
rnacentral:rRNA from 1 species